CAAAGGCAGGCGCUAAACCGCUGCGCCACCCAGGGAUCCCUGGUUCAGCUCUUAAAAGUAGGGAUGACUUCUGUCCUGGGAGUAUGAAGUGUGAAGCAAGCAUCCCAUCCUCAAGAUGCUCAGAUCCAGUGGAAGAGCCGCCUGUGGUCCUCCCCAAACUGCAGGGGUUGGGGAACCUGGCAGUGGAGGCCUCAUCCUGCUCGGGGGAGGAGAGGGCUGGGGAGGGGAGAGUCACUGCAGGUCACUGCGGGUGGCUUUGCCAGCUCACCCACACCCUCCACCUCAUCGACUCCCAGGUGCAUCUCCCAGCCGUGUCGGGGGUAUUUGUGAGGACACAGCUGCGCGCUCCUGGUUGCUCUACCUCCCCCCGCCCCCCCCUCGGGACAUUGCAGUGAAGGACUGACUCCACAUGUCCCCUCCCUGCUUGCUCUUUUCUUUCUGCCUACUUGACAUCGUGACAUCUCCACUGCCCCUCGGGGUACAACGCCCAGGGUGGACUCUGGGUUCCCCAUCCUGCCCUGCCUGCAGCACCACCUGCUGCCACCACUCACUCAAGGCUCAGAACAGCUUUCACUGCAGGCACCGGCAAGCCCCAGUGGCUCCCUGUGCACCCACCCCAAAUAUUUCCAGUCUGUCUCUUGACCUGUCUCCGUCCCAUCCUGGAGGGAGCCACGGUCUGCUCUCUGGGCAGCCGAACCCCGUCCUGAACUUCUUUCCCACUGUGUCGCUGUCUCUUCCCCACGGAAAUGCCUUUGUCACCAAACAGCCCAAAUCAUCUUUUUCCUAAAAAAUAACUGACUUCUGUGAAUCAGUGAAACUUGCCCCUUCUGCCGCAUUUGACAGCCUUGUGCUGAUCACAAAAUAGUCGAUUGCACAAGAGCCAGGCCCCGCCAGGCUCGGCUUCUGCUGCUGCGCUCGGGUCCUGGGGUCCUGGGGUCCUGGGCCUGUACCCGGCCCUCACUGGGCUCCGCUUCUGUGGUGCGUGUGCACCUGUUGGCCUGCUGCCUGCUCCCUGCCCACCCCCACCCCCAGGGGCCAGCUCAGGCUCCAGCAGCCCCUCCCGGAGGAGGCCUCGCCAGCCACCUGCCUCCAUCAGGUUCUCUCUGUCUCAGGGUGCGCCACUCGCCGCUUUCUCUCAGCAUCCUGUUUUGUUUUUUAAUUACAAGUAUUUCAAACAUACAAGUAGAGAAGUGAUUGUACACCUUG